GAUGAGCGCCGGCGGCGUGCCUAAUACAUGCAAGUCGAGCGGUAACAGGGAGAGCUUGCUCUCUGCUGACGAGCGGCGGACGGCUGAGUAACACGUAGGAACGUACCCCAAAGUGAGGGAUAACUGCUCGAAAGAGUAGCUAAUACCGCAUGUGAUCCACGGAUUAAAGCUUUAUGCGCUUUGGGAACGGCCUGCGUCCGAUUAGCUAGUUGGUGAGGUAAUAGCUCACCAAGGCGAUGAUCGGUAGCUGGUCUGAGAGGAUGAUCAGCCAGACUGGGACUGAGACACGGCCCAGACUCCUACGGGAGGCAGCAGUAGGGAAUUUUGCACAAUGGGCGAAAGCCUGAUGGAGCAACGCCGCGUGCAGGAUGAAUGCCUUCGGGUUGUAAACUGCUUUUGUUAGUGAAGAUUAUGACGGUAGCUAACGAAUAAGGGUCUGCUAACUACGUGCCAGCAGCCGCCGUAA
rnacentral:rRNA from 1 species